UACGGGGGGGGCAAGCGUUGUUCGGAAUUACUGGGCGUAAAGGGCUCGUAGGCGGCCAACUAAGUCGGACGUGAAAUCCCCAGGCUCAACCUGGGAACUGCGUCUGAUACUGGAUGGCUUGAAUCCGGGAGAGGGAUGCAGAAUUCCAGGUGUAGCGGUGAAAUGCGUAGAUAUUGGGAGGAACACCGGUGGCGAAGGCGGCCCCCUGGACCGGUACUGACGCUGAGGCGCGAAAGCGUGGGUAGCAAACGGG
rnacentral:rRNA from 1 species